GGGCGCAUAGCUCAGUCCGGUUAGAGCGCGUCCCUGAUAAGGACGAGGUCUCAGGUUCGAAUCCUGAUGCGCCCA
rnacentral:tRNA from 1 species